rnacentral:misc_RNA from 1 species
GAUGAAGAACGCAGCGAAGUGCGAUAAGUAAUGUGAAUUGCAGAAUUCCGUGAAUCAUCGAAUCUUUGAACGCAAAUUGCACUUUCUGGUAUUCCGGAGAGUAUGCCUGUUUGAGGGUCAGUGUAAUAAAAAUAAAUCGUGGUUACCACUUUUCGUGGUGACGCUUCGGAAUUGAGUCGUCUUACCUUCGGUUAAGUGACUUAAAAUUUUUUCAUACGAUUUCGAAACGUAUUUAAUGUAUUAUGUAUGUUCACGAAUAUCGAAUGUUUAUUAGGUGCGGUCAUUUUCAUGAAUUCGCGUCUAUAAUUUUUUUUUUUUUGACCUCAAAUCAGGUAAGAAUACCCGCUGAACUUAAGCAUAUCAAUAAGCGGAGGA